GAUGAACGCUGGCGGCGUGCCUAACACAUGCAAGUCGAACGGAGUCGUUUUGGAAAUCUCUUCGGAGAUGGAAUUCUCGACUUAGUGGCGGACGGGUGAGUAACGCGUGAGCAAUCUGCCUUUAAGAGGGGGAUAACAGUCGGAAACGGCUGCUAAUACCGCAUAAAGCAUUAAAUUCGCAUGUUUUUGAUGCCAAAGGAGCAAUCCGCUUUUAGAUGAGCUCGCGUCUGAUUAGCUAGUUGGCGGGGUAACGGCCCACCAAGGCGACGAUCAGUAGCCGGACUGAGAGGUUGAACGGCCACAUUGGGACUGAGACACGGCCCAGACUCCUACGGGAGGCAGCAGGGGGGAAUAUUGCGCAAGGGGGGAAACCCUGACGCAGCAACGCCGCGUGAUUGAAGAAGGCCUUCGGGUUGUAAAGAUCUUUAAUCAGGGACGAAACAAAUGACGGUACCUGAAGAAUAAGCUCCGGCUAACUACGUG
rnacentral:rRNA from 1 species